rnacentral:misc_RNA from 1 species
UUAAUGUUUUGUAUUGAUUCAGACACAAACUAUUCUGCAUAAAUGCGGCGCCGGAGCGCCGAAGCACACUCUACCUCCACAGUUUUGAGGGGUCGAAGGCCACGGAUGGCCAUUCAUUAAUGAUCCCUCCGCAGGUUCACCUACGGAGA